AACGCGAAGAACCUUACCAGGUCUUGACAUCCCAAUGACCGCUCUAGAGAUAGAGUUUUCCCUUCGGGGACAUUGGUGACAGGUGGUGCAUGGUUGUCGUCAGCUCGUGUCGUGAGAUGUUGGGUUAAGUCCCGCAACGAGCGCAACCCUUGAUCUUAGUUGCCAUCAUUUAGUUGGGCACUCUAAGGUGACUGCCGGUGACAAACCGGAGGAAGGUGGGGAUGACGUCAAAUCAUCAUGCCCCUUAUGACCUGGGCUACACACGUGCUACAAUGGACGAUACAAAGAGUCGCUAACUCGCGAGGGUAUGCUAAUCUCAUAAAAUCGUUCUCAGUUCGGAUUGUAGGCUGCAACUCGCCUACAUGAAGCCGGAAUCGCUAGUAAUCGUGGAUCAGCAUGCCACGGUGAAUACGUUCCCGGGCCUUGUA
rnacentral:rRNA from 1 species